rnacentral:misc_RNA from 1 species
AUCGCACAGAAACGGAACGGCGACGCUAUCUCCUUGUUGGGGUCGUCGAGCGCCUGCGCUGCUCGCCGCUCUGCACCGUCUCGAGACGCUGCUGCCCGCCCUGGGUCAGAACACGCCUGCGCUCCAGCGUUCUCUGGCCGCUACGCUUGCGCUUUCACGGGGGUAUCGAGCUGCCCGGAGUCGUCCCGACCUGGUGUUUGAAACGACUAGGACCGUAAAUCAAAAGUCAGCUGGAGAGCAUGGUGUCCAGAUUGACUGAAUCGUGGUGCUUUCCGCGGUCUUCCUGCAGGAAUGCAUUCUAUCCAGAACGAAAGGAUUAUCUCGCACAAAUCGAAUCUACGCUUGUCUCAGUUUAGAAUAGAACGCUGAACUGCAUGGUGUGUUCUUGGCUUUUGAUUCUUUUGUACAAGUACAUCUUCGACAGUACCAGUGCAGCAGUCCGGGUUUUUUUGGACUCAAACGCAGGUUCGGGUGUCUCGGUCUUCGUUUUGGAAAGGCUCCUCCGACGCUUGAACACUGGAAUUCUUAGCGUCAUCGGAAUUGCCAUGAUUCAUGACUCCCUUGAAUACGGGCAUACAACAUAACAAAUAUGAUCAUUCAAAGCGUACGUACAAGCAUCGACUCCUCUCCUCUCUUCAUGUGCAGAAUGUUCAAAUCACGUAUACUUCACGUUAUCGACCUCUCUGUUUCAAGGCUGAUCGUGGGCGAAGCGAUUUGCGUGGCAGGAGUAAAACAGCAAGAUCAUCGAUGUCGUCUCUUGACGCUUUGUUCACCAGCGCAUCCCAAAGGUUCACUGGACCUGUCGCGUCAAAUCGUUGAUCUCGUUUGUAAAGGAGACACGUCCUCUCGGUGUGAACAUCGAUAAAACGGGAUUCGAACCCAGUGCGGGGUGCGUCAUGUGACAUGUUCCCUGAGGCUCGCACUCCUCCGGUUUGCAUGCGAAAAUGUCUGAAACUCGGAUAUGAGUCAUCGCAGCGAUCGCUUCCAGUGCAUCGUUCUUCACCAAUUUGCACCAGGGUAGUGUACACGGAUCAUGAGCUCUCGAUUUGUUCUCCGACGAGCCUUCGCCGUCCGGCACUUGUUUCAUCAUGGAAAACACCACGUUUCACAAAUCCUCCACCAAGUGGGCUGCAGCCGCUUUUGGUGUGUGCAACGGGCAUCGUACGCGCCGAUGGAAUCGCGCACAAGAAUGCCGUCAUCGCAGGGUGCCGCGGCUGGCGAGGAAACUGAGGACGGCAUCCAAAGGGGCCUUUCGUACCCGCCAAGUACGAGUAUCAGGCAAUAAAGCAAGCGUUUGCGCGCCACAGGGCAGCACUCGGAGGAAGAGGCGCGUUAGACAUCACUGAACACCCGAUCACAACCGGGUACGUCAUCGCUCCAAAAGAACGCACCAGGCCUGUAUACAUGGAAGGUGAAUUCGGCAACCGAAGCCUAGAUCGUAACUUUCACUAGUGCAUGAAAUGCCUGGGCAACAGCCGGACGCCGUGAACUCGGCACUUGCGUGCCACCGUCAACACCCUUCGAAUCCUGACAUCGAAGCUGGCUGGUCAGUAUCGACUGUCGUAUAUACGGGCGGAGACAAGAGAGAGGUAAAGAAU